GGCAUCGGGAGCUCAUGUGUUACAACUCAAACACAUACUCACUUAGAGAAGCUUAACAUUGUAUAUUGUAUAUGAGUAGGUGAUGGUAGUUUGGUUUGCCAUCACAAUUUUGAAAGAUUUCGAAGAAUAGACAAGGCAUAUAUAUUCUACCAGCAUACUUUAGCUUCUAAGGGAAGUCCAAAACAGUGGUGAGGAGGAUUGCAUAUUGAAGAUUGACCUCUCGACAUGGAAAUUGGGAGUAGAUUGUAGGAUGUCGUUUCCACCCAUUACCCACGCAACCGACUCAUAAUUUAUUUUCUUAGUUACUAAUUACAUGCAUUAAUUAUGUAUUA
rnacentral:lncRNA from 1 species